CAGCCGCCGCGGUAACACGUAGGUGGCAAGCGUUGUCCGGAAUUAUUGGGCGUAAAGGGCUCGCAGGCGGUUUCUUAAGUCUGAUGUGAAAGCCCCCGGCUCAACCGGGGAGGGUCAUUGGAAACUGGGAAACUUGAGUGCAGAAGAGGAGAGUGGAAUUCCACGUGUAGCGGUGAAAUGCGUAGAGAUGUGGAGGAACACCAGUGGCGAAGGCGACUCUCUGGUCUGUAACUGACGCUGAGGAGCGAAAGCGUGGGGAGCGAACAGGAUUAGAUACCCCAGUAGUCCCUGUCCCUUAUAC
rnacentral:rRNA from 1 species